rnacentral:rRNA from 1 species
UACGUAGGUCGCAAGCGUUAUCCGGAAUUAUUGGGCGUAAAGAGUUCGUAGGUGGUUUGUCGCGUUGUUCGUGAAAACUCACAGCUUAACUGUGGGCGUGCGGGCGAUACGGGCAGACUUGAGUACUGCAGGGGAGACUGGAAUUCCUGGUGUAGCGGUGGAAUGCGCAGACAUCAGGAGGAACACCGGUGGCGAAGGCGGGUCUCUGGGCAGUAACUGACGCUGAGGAGCGAAAGCGUGGGGAGCGAACAGG